CCUACGGGAGGCAGCAGUGAGGAAUAUUGGUCAAUGGACGAGAGUCUGAACCAGCCAAGUAGCGUGAAGGAUGACUGCCCUAUGGGUUGUAAACUUCUUUUAUAAAGGAAUAAAACGAGGCACGUGUGCCUUUUUGCAUGUACUUUAUGAAUAAGGAUCGGCUAACUCCGUGCCAGCAGCCGCGGUAAUACGGAGGAUCCGAGCGUUAUCCGGAUUUAUUGGGUUUAAAGGGAGCGUAGAUGGGUUGUUAAGUCAGUUGUGAAAGUUUGCGGCUCAACCGUAAAAUUGCAAUUGAUACUGGCAGUCGUGAGUACAGUUGAGGUAGGCGGAAUUCGGGGUGUAGCGGUGAAAUGCUUAGAGAUCACGAAGAACCCCGAUUGCGAAGGCAGCUUACUAAACUGUGACUGACAUUGAUGCUCGAAAGUGUGGGUAUCAAACAGGAUUAGAUACCCGGGUAGUC
rnacentral:rRNA from 1 species